rnacentral:rRNA from 1 species
AGAUUGAACGCUGGCGGCAUGCUUUACACAUGCAAGUCGAACGGCAGCACGGGGGCAACCCUGGUGGCGAGUGGCGAACGGGUGAGUAAUGCAUCGGAACGUAUCCUUAAGUGGGGGGAUAACGCAUCGAAAGAUGCGCUAAUACCGCAUAAUCUCUGAGGAGAAAAAGCAGGGGAUCGCAAGACCUUGCGCUUUUUGGAGCGGCCGAUGUCUGAUUAGCUAGUUGGUGAGGUAAAGGCUUACCAAGGCUUCGAUCAGUAGCUGGUCUGAGAGGACGACCAGCCACACUGGGACUGAGACACGGCCCAGACUCCUACGGGAGGCAGCAGUGGGGAAUUUUGGACAAUGGGGGCAACCCUGAUCCAGCCAUGCCGCGUGAGUGAAGAAGGCCUCGGUUGUAAGCUCUUCAGCGGAACGAAACGGUACGACGGUUAAUAACCGUAGACUACGUGACGGUAACCGGAACGUAAAGAAAGACGAACCGGACGUAAACCUACGUA